rnacentral:lncRNA from 1 species
ACAGACAGCAUGUUAUUUUAAUCACACUUGUAAAUAAAGUUGUGAACCCACUUUUUGUAUUUAAAAUCUGCCUUAGAUAUAUAAAAGUCAGUUCUUCCAAGCAAAAUAUCUUCAGUUAAGUGUUUCUAUUUGAUCUUGUAUAGCCUUUGAUAUUUUGGAUAGAAAUAAAAGAAGUAAAACAAACCACACAAAAUAUUCAGAAAAUUGCCUUUCUUUCUGGAAUUUCCCUCAUGGCUCAGUGGACAUGAACCCAACUAAUAUCCAUGAGGAUUCAAGCUCAAUCCCUGGGGGCUCUGCUCAGUGAGUUAAGGAUCCGGCGUUGCUGUGAGCUGUGGUGUAGGUCGCAGACGUGGCUCAGAUCCCGCCUCGCUGUGGCUGUGGCAAAGGCUGGCAGUUGCAGCUCCAAUUCGACCCCUACCCUAGGAACUUCCAUGUGCCACAGGUGUGGUCCUAAAAAAAAUUUUUUUUUAAUUGUACUUUUUUUGAUGAUUGAGUAAAUAUAACUAUUUUUUGCUCAUAUUAGUAUUUGGAUCCAUUCUUUCAAAAAAAUUAAUCUUAGAGUUCUCUUUUGGCACGAAAGGCUAAGGAUCCAGAAUUGUACCUGCAGCAGCUUAGGUUGCUGCUGUGGCGUGGGUUCAAUCCUGGCCUGGGAAUUUCUGCAUGUCACUGGUGCAGUAAAUAAAAAAAUCAGUCUUCAAAAAAAUUGAAAAGUGUAUCCUUCAUGAAUACAGAUUAAAAUCAUUUUGAGCAUACAAAAUACCUUCUAUAUAUAAGAGCUAGUCAACAAAAUUUCAAUAUUUCUGACAAUUUGGUUUUGGACCUUCAUUGUGUUUUAUGGAGAAAGGCCCCAUUUUCCUGCUUUCUAAAGGAGUUAGAUCACUAAUUAAUAAAUUUGAAGUAACAUCACUAUUUUUUGAUGACCAUAAAAAUCCAGAAAAAUAGGGGCCGUAUUCCUAAAUACAACUAAUAUACUUAUGUUGUGGAUUUUAUUUCUAAACUAAAUAUAGUCUCCUAAGGCAUUCUCUAUCAUCUAAUAAAUAUAUAGAUGCAGCUGUACAGGUAAGGAGCUAACUUCAAAGAUUAGAUGUUAUUAAGUGCAUUAAUGAUGUACUAGCUUUGCUGUGAUUCAGAAGACCUGGGUAUCUGAUGAGGUUUUCAGUGAUUAGACUGACACUAGCUGUGCAGAAUUUUUUUUUACUUUGAGUAUCUAUAAUUUAAAAAUCUAUAUGCAAGGCAUUUCCCAUUUUCACAGUCUUGGAUUUUCUUUUUCUUUUUUUUUUUUUUUUGACUCCCUGAGCCAAAGAAAUCUUUCACUUUUGCUUACAAAACAGUUUUAAUGAUAAAAAUGUUUCUGGUCUAUAUUCCACCAAAAGACAAGAAAGGAGUCUUAAUGAAUUUAUUUGAAAAAUGGAGAGAAUAACUUAGUUCAUUUAGAAGAUAGAGAUAUAACAUCCGGGUGUUGCUUUGGGUAAGGGAAAUAGAGAAAAUACAUACUUUUUCUUUCUUUUUACGAUUUCGGGCAGCUAUCCAUUUAUGAUAAGGCAGAAACUAUAGCAUUAAUUAAUAAAUAAUGUCGUGGAACACAUUCUUUGGAAUGCAGUUUGUGGCUUCUUGCCCAGGAUAGUGGAACAGCUGUUUCUGCUGAAUUAUUGGAAUGUGAGAAGCAAUGAUGUAAAUGCUUCAAAGCACAGAGAGUAAAGGGAUUUUUCUUUUUUUUGGUCUGAAAUCCCAAUGAAUAGAAGCUUUUAUACACAAAGAAAGAAUUCAGAGAGCCCUGUACUCUUUGAGCAUAACACUUCUUCGCCUUGCACAUUCCCAUUAUUCUACCAGAUCCUUGGUGUGAGAUGUUUCAGGGGUUUCUGGUCACACAAGACUCUUCUGUUCUUCCACAAAUCACUCAGAACCAGAAACCCUUUGGUCAACUUAGGGUGCACCCCUGUAAGGUCUCUGCAGGGAAAGGGCAGCGAGCAGUGCCAAGCUGGGGUGUGGCUGGCAGUGUGGCAGGUAGGGGCCCUGGAAUUGAAGGACCUCAGAGCCAUCCCAGCUCUGCUACUUUGUAGCACUGGGACCUCAGUCAAGUGACUAACACAGAGCACAUAUUGCUCAUCUCUGCCUCUAUGUUUUAUCAGUAGCAUGAGGAUAGUUGAUAAAAUUAUGCUAUUGAUAAUUCCAUCAAUAGCCUAAGGAUAAAAGAAUUGAUCUCAGAGUGUCCUUAAUGAGUAUUAACAGAAAAGGUUUAUGUAUGGCUCAUGUAAACACUGAAUAAACAGUAGUUAUUUUUAUUAGGCAUUUUAUUCCAAAGCACUUUUCAAUCGGUUUGUUGUACAGAAGGUGACAGUUAUGAUACCGAAUAAUUUCCGGAGUUCCCUGGUGGCUCAGUGGAUUAAGGAUCUAGCCUUGUCACUGCUAUGGCUUAGGUUGCUGCUGUGCCAUGAGUUCAGUCCCUGGCCUGGGAACUUCCACAUGCCUUGAAUGUGGCCAAAAAAUUAAUUAAUUUUAAAAAUAAGGUAUUGAAUUAUUUCUAUUUAAAAAACAUACUGAGAUGGAAGUCAAGCCAGAUCCUGAUCAGGCUUGAUAUAUUUGCUGUGUGAUUUAGAAAAGUCAUUUAACUUCUCCAAAUCUCAGUUUGCCUAUCUGAAAAAUGGAGUUAAUAAUGGUUUCUGUUGCUUCUGUGCUUAUUACAUUCUAGAUACUGCGCUAAGUGUUUUACAUGCCCUGGGUGAUUUAAUCCCCCUAACAACCUUAAGUGAUAGGAACUAUUUUAGCAUUUUACAGAGGAAGAAACAAGUACAGAGAGGAAUCUGAUUUCAUUCACUUACAGAGCACUUACUGAGCAUUAUUCUAUUACAGACACUUUUUCUUGAUGCUAGAAAUGUAGCCAUGAACAAGAGACAAAAAGGCAGGGGCUGGGGUCCUUAUAGGCCUAUGUUCUAAUAGGAAAAGGGAAUGAAGAAUUUUUUUUCUUUUUAGGGUCACAUCUGUGGCAUAUGGAAGUUCCCAGGCUAGGGGUCGAAUUAGAGCUGUAGCUGCCAGCCUAUGCUAAGCCACAGCAAUGCCAGAUCCGAGCCAUGUCUGUAGCCUACACUGCAGCUCACGGCAAUGCCAGAUCCCUAACCCUGAAUGAGUGGGUUAAGGAUCCAGCAUUGCCGUGAGCUGUGGUAUAGGUUGCAGACAAGGCUCAGAUCCCGUGUUGCUCUGGCUCUGGUGUAAGCCGGUGGCUACACCUCCGAUUCGACCCCUAGGCUGGGAACCUCCAUAUGCCGCGGGAGCUGCCCAAGAAAUGGCAAAAAGACAACAAAAAAAGAAAGAAAGAAAGAAAAUAUAUCAUCUAUUGGAGUGGUUAGGG